rnacentral:rRNA from 1 species
GGAUGCGAUCAUACCAGCACUAAAGAACCGGAUCCCAUCAGAACUUCAAAGUUAAGCGUGCUUGGGCGAGAGUAGUACUACGAUGGGGUGACCUCCUGGGAAGUCCUCGUGUUGCAUUCC